GUCUGUUUGGAGAUAUAAAAAGUUUAACCUGCCCACUGAUUAAUCAAAAAUAUUAAAUGGCCGCGGUAUUCUGACCGUGCAAAGGUAGCAUAAUCGUUAGUUUUUUAAUUGGAAUCUUGUAUGAAUGGUUGGACAAAAGAAAAUCUGUCUUUAUGCUAUAAAUUGAAUUUAACUUUUAAGUGAAAAGGCUUAAAUUAAUUAAAGGGACGAUAAGACCCUAUAAAGCUUGAUAUUAAUAUAUUAUUUAGUCGAAUUCAAAAAUAAAAACUUAAUAAUUGAAUUUAUUUUAUUGGGGUGAUAAAAGUAAAAUGAUUAUUAACUGCUUAAUGUUAAAUACAUCUUUAUAUGAUUAAUUUUUAAAUGAUCCUAAUUAAAGAUUAAAAGUUUAAG
rnacentral:rRNA from 1 species